CCCUUAGAUGUUCUCGGCCGCACACGCGCUACACUGAAAGAGGCAACGUGUUUGCCUGAUUCGAAAGAAUUGGGUAACCCCCUAAUCUCUUUCGUGCUGGGGAUUGAGGUUUGCAAUUAUCCUUCAUGAACGAGGAAUUCCCAGUAAGUGCGAGUCAUUAUCUCGCGCUGACUACGUCCCUGCCCUUUGUACACACCGCCCGUCGCUACUACCGAUUGAAUGAUGUAGUGAGGACUUCGGACUGAGUCCAAUGCGGCUUUCGGGCUGCGUUGGUAUUUCGGAAAGAUGUCCAAACUGUAUCAUUUAGAGGAAGUAAAAGUCGUAACA
rnacentral:rRNA from 1 species